rnacentral:lncRNA from 1 species
GGCAUGAGCAUGUUCAUUACUCUCGUUGAGCCCCUGUAUGGAAAAUAAGGAUGAGGAGGUCAAGGAAACACCAACACAAGAGGUCUUGCGAACUCAAUGCUUUAUUGCUUCAUGGGCACCUCAUGGGGCCAAGGCACAGCCUGGGUCAUCAGGCAGAGGUGGCAGCAGGGACCGCAAGUGAUGCCCCUUCCCAGGGAGCAAUGGUCCUGGAGGGCAAGGAGAGGGUUUGCAGCCCAGGGCUUGCAAAGCUGUGGGGAGACCAGAGGGAGCUGGUCCAUGCGUGGCCUUUGUGGCUGGAGCUGGGGCUGGUGGGACACCCACAUCACUUCAUCUUCUGCGAGGGCAGCUGGUGGACCUGCUGCUGCUGCUGCUGCUGCUGCUGCUGCUGGUGGUAGUGGUACUGGACCUGUGGCUUCCCAUGACAACCACCACCACCGGAGCUAUGGCAUCCACCGCUGGAGCUAUGGCAUCCACCGCCCGAGCUAUGGCAGCCACUACCACCGGAGCUAUGGCAGCCACCACCGGAGCUGUGACAGCCACCGCUGCCACCAGAGCUGUGGCAUCCACCACUGGAGCUGUGGCAUCCACCACUGGAGCGGUGGCAUCCACCACUGGAGCGGUGGCAUCCACCACCGCUGCUGUGGAGCUCCUGCUCAUGGCAGUGGUCCCUGUCCUGGCGAGAGCACAUGGCUGUGUUUCCAGGUGACCUGCAGGGAAAGAGGAGCUGUCAGGAGCUUUCCUUCCCUGCUUGUGCUCUACCAGAGCAGGGAAAUCUGCAGGUACCUUUAUCCGGUCUUACCCAGAUCCCCACAAUCAUCUCUAAGCCUUGUGCCAGCUUCUUACCACCCACAGCAUUGUCCCACCAAAGACACUAAGAGCAUCCAGAGCAACUGAGCAAGGUGACUGUAGCUUUCCAGAGUGGACCCAUAUUGCUCCCAGAGAGAGAAGACCAGCACCCCAGAGGCUCCCUCCAAGCCCAUCUCUCUCUGUUCUCUUUAGCACCCCAUGUCCCUGCUCACAGAGCAAGCCCCAACCUACUCCAAAGUGCACAUACCCAUCUGCUUCCCGUGCUGCAUCCAGCCCCAGAGCCCUACAGCAUCACUGCCCUUACCUGAGAUGCUUGUGCAGCAAAGGAGCAAGGAGGGAAUGAAGCUCCCCUGGAUGGGAUCGCUUUUAUACCCUCUCUGUGCACCCCAUCUGGGAAGGAAGCACCUCCCUGUCCCAGAGAUCUGAUGGUUCAUUUGAUUUGUUGGCUUUUUCUUGGCCUCCCCACUCUGCAGGUUGCUGGUGUGACUCACCCCAUCCGUGUUGGGUAUUGCCUCCUUAUAGGUCGUCAUUCCUGUGAAUCAGAAACACUUAAUUGCCAGCUCUACCUGUGCUUAGUUCCAAUGGGGGAGUGAUGUGGGUGGCCCUGGUCUCCACAUCUGUGCUGGUUUGGUUUUGGUGUUUGGGAGUGCUUUGUGUUUGAGGGGGGAGAUGAGGUUGUACAUCUAAAUCACACCAUCCUUUUGAAAUGCUUUGAAGUCAUCUAGUCCUGCCGAUGCACAUAAAGCCAGAGAGGUGUCUAUAAGUAGAUAGAUAUAGUAGAUAGCCUAGUAGAGUGGGUCCAGAGAAGGGCAAUGGAGCUGGUGCAGGGCCUGGAGCACAGGACAGAUGAGGAACAGCUGAGGGACCUGGGGGUUAGAUGGAGAAGGCUCAUGGGGACCUGAUCGCUCCCUACAAGUGCCUGCAGGAGGAUGGAGCCAGGAGGGGCUCUGCUCCCAAGGAACAAGGGAUGGGACAGGAGGAACCAGCCUCAAGCUGCACCAGGGCAGGUUUAGGUUGGAUAUGGGGAAGAGUUUAUCCACCUAAAGGAUGCUCAGGCACUGGAACAGGCUGCCCAGGGCAGUGGUCCAGUCACCAUCCCUACAGGGAUGAGGCCCAUUGUAACAUGGGUUAGUGGUGGC